UACGUAGGGACCGAGCGUUGUCCGGAUUCAUUGGGCGUAAAGAGCUCGUAGGCGGCCACUCAAGUCGAAUGUGAAACCUCGAGGCUUAACCUCGAGCCUGCAUUCGAUACUGGGCGGCUAGAGUCUGGUAGGGGGAUCUGGAAUUCCUGGUGUAGCGGUGGAAUGCGCAGAUAUCAGGAGGAACACCGGUGGCGAAGGCGGGAUCCUGGGCCAGUACUGACGCUGAUGCGCGAAAGCCAGGGGAGCGAACGGG
rnacentral:rRNA from 1 species